rnacentral:rRNA from 1 species
AACUACGCUGGCGGCGUGCCUAACACAUGCAAGUCGUACGAGAAAGUUGGCUUCGGCUGAUGAGUAAAGUGGCGCACGGGUGAGUAACGCGUGGAUAAUCUACCUUUAGUUGGGAAUAACGUACCGAAAGGUGCGCUAAUACCGGAUAAUACUGAGUGACUACUGUUGCUUAGUCAAAGAAGGCCUCUGUUUACAAGCUUUUGCUGAAAGAUGAGUCCGCGUACCAUUAGCUAGUUGGUAGGGUAAUGGCCUACCAAGGCUACGAUGGUUAGCUGGCCUGAGAGGAUGAUCAGCCACACUGGAACUGAGACACGGUCCAGACUCCUACGGGAGGCAGCAGUGAGGAAUAUUGCGCAAUGGGCGCAAGCCUGACCCAGCAACGCCGCGUGAGGGAAGAAGGUUUUCGGAUUGUAAACCUCUGUCGCAGAUGACGAAGGAAGUGACGGUAAUCUGUGAGGAAGCCCCGGCUAACUACGUG